rnacentral:lncRNA from 1 species
AGAUGAGAGGAAAUAUUUAUAUUUAUUUUUAUUUGUCUUUUUUUUUCUCUAAUUUUGUAUGUAUUUUAUUGUAUUUUCUUUUACAUUCAAUUUUAAACUAUUUAUUUUUUUGUUAUUAUAUUGUUAUUUUUUAUAUUUGUUUUGUUAGAUGGUUUAUCACGAUUUAAAAAUUAUUAUUAAUAAAUAAUUUAAUUUAUGUCGAAGAGUUAAAAUCUGAAUUAAAUGUGCUUAAUUUUUUUAACGUUACGUUAUAAUUUUU